UACGGGGGGGGCAAGCGUUGUUCGGAAUUACUGGGCGUAAAGGGCUCGUAGGCGGCCAACUAAGUCAGACGUGAAAUCCCUCGGCUUAACCGGGGAACUGCAUCUGAUACUGGAUGGCUUGAGUUCGGGAGAGGGAUGCGGAAUUCCAGGUGUAGCGGUGAAAUGCGUAGAUAUCAAGAGGAACACCAGUGGCGAAGGCGAAUCUCUGGACAAUUCCUGACACUGAUGCUCGAAAGCUAGGGGAGCAAACGGG
rnacentral:rRNA from 1 species